rnacentral:rRNA from 1 species
ACAGGAAGAAGCUUGCUUCUUUGCUGACGAGUGACGGACGGGUGAGUAAUGUCUGGGAAACUGCCUGAUGGAGGGGGAUAACUACUGGAAACGGUAGCUAAUACCGCAUAACGUCGCAAGACCAAAGAGGGGGACCUUCGGGCCUCUUGCCAUCGGAUGUGCCCAGAUGGGAUUAGCUAGUAGGUGGGGUAACGGCUCACCUAGGCGACGAUCCCUAGCUGGUCUGAGAGGAUGACCAGCCACACUGGAACUGAGACACGGUCCAGACUCCUACGGGAGGCAGCAGUGGGGAAUAUUGCACAAUGGGCGCAAGCCUGAUGCAGCCAUGCCGCGUGUAUGAAGAAGGCCUUCGGGUUGUAAAGUACUUUCAGCGGGGAGGAAGGGAGUAAAGUUAAUACCUUUGCUCAUUGACGUUACCCGCAGAAGAAGCACCGGCUAACUCCGUGCCAGCAGCCGCGGUAAUACGGAGGGUGCAAGCGUUAAUCGGAAUUACUGGGCGUAAAGCGCACGCAGGCGGUUUGUUAAGUCAGAUGUGAAAUCCCCGGGCUCAACCUGGGAACUGCAUCUGAUACUGGCAAGCUUGAGUCUCGUAGAGGGGGGUAGAAUUCCAGGUGUAGCGGUGAAAUGCGUAGAGAUCUGGAGGAAUACCGGUGGCGAA